rnacentral:lncRNA from 1 species
CUCCUCUGUGCUUCUAAUGCUCGGGUGUCAGGUCAACAGCCCGGCGAGCGCGCGCGCGGAAAGAGGGCCGAGCGCACGGUGCUCGCGCCUCCUCCUCCUCCUCCUCCUCCCGCUUCUCUCUCUCUCCCCCCGUGUGUGAGGGGGAAAUUAGCAGUUGAGGGCGUUUUGGUUUGAACUAAGCGAGGACGGGUAGAGAGCCGCGCGGUAGCCUGCCGUGGCGGCAAGAACAAUGAAGGGUGGCGGCUGAAGGGGGCUGGGUUUGUGCGUGGCGGCGGCGGGCUGCGGAGGCAGGCGCUGGGGAGGAUGGCAAUCGCGUGAAGGGAUUAAUUGUUGUUUAGCCAUGGUGCUCUCUGGGGACUCAGAAGGGAGGAUUGCAGCCUUCCUAAGCGUGUGCGUGUAUAUAAUUAUAUUUCCCCCCCCCAAAAAAAUGUAAAUAAAAGCAGGGUGGAACUUGCUGAAAUAAACCCUCUCUUCUCUGCCUGCGAGAGUUUUGGCAAGUCCCGGUCACCCACCUGCAAUGCUUCAUGUUUAAAAUUGGAAUAAUAGGGAAAUCUAUGCACAGCGAAUUGCUAUGCAAGUUUUUGCUGGGAAGUAAGCCCCACUAUAAUAGGCACGGGAGGUUUCUCCUCAGGAAUUAUGUUUAGGACAGCAGUUUGAGAGUAGGGUUACCCACAAUAUUUAACUAGGUAAGAUUUGAGAAGGUAGUGUUGAAAUAGGUCAUCUUUCAGUAAUCCUAUGCACGCUUAUCUGGGAGUUGGUCCCAUGGAAAUCAGUGUGGCUGCCUUCUCUGUACAUGGGCAUAGUAUUGCUUUGUUCAAGAUCACUUAUUAGGAGUAAGGCCCAUUGAUCGCAGGUGGGUUGUGUUGCACAGUUGCCUCCAGCAGCUCUUGCACUAGGACUGGAAGUGCCACAGGGAAAUACUUCCCAAGGAAGGAUAGUACUUAUAGGCACAGGGACCUGGCACAGCCCUGGCAAAGUAGGCCCUGCCAAAGUUGUUGCUUCCUUGCAGAAUCCGCCAACAGCACUUAGGAUGAAAAACUGCACAGUAAGAAUCUCUGUUGAGUGACAGAAGCGGGAGGGUUGGCAUCAGGAUAUCGUAGAAUGCAGUUCCCUGUUCAUAUUAUGUGCUUGUGAGAAUGAAUAAGCCUGGCUUCUGUCUAAAAUUAAAGAUUUUACCAUUUCCCCAGAGAACAGCUAAAAAUGUAUUAAGCUGAUUGUAUUAAAUUAGUUUAUCCAGAUGCAUGGACUACUCUUAGGCUUACACUAGUCUGGUGGUGAGAGGCUAGGAGAGAUAGCAGGUGUCUUGGAGCAGGGAACUGAGUGGAGGUGUACAUGGGCACAUGCAUGCAAACAAGAUAAGCAUUACAGAGCAGCUGAGAGCCUGUGAUUGGUAUGGAGAAAAAGCAAGAGAGGCCAUGCCCAUCAGACCGGUUUGGGGAAUGAGUCAUCUCUUGGAGCAAGGGAAGUAGAUAAAAGUAGGGGGGAGAAUAGAUCUCUGCUCAUUGUACAAUAUUCAUCUGUCCUUAGGCAAUGUUUUCAUACACAUUCUCUCCAUUCUCAUUUGUUUCAUAAUAAAGCUCUCCAGUUUUGGAACUUGCUUUCCCAGAUACCAGAAAAAUGCUAAGCUUGCCAAUUUUCUGGGAGUACCAUAAGCCUUCACUGUUCAGAGCAAGCAUUUUGUGGCUGGGUAUUAGAGGAUUUUUUUAAGGAUAACUUUUAGUCUACGUAUAUUUAAGUGUUUGGAUAACAUGUUUCUAAGUGUUGAGCUGUGCUGAGCCCUAGGAAAUUCAGUAAAGCAUAAUAAAAGUGGUGGGAAGGAAUUGGUAAAUUAAAUAAAUUGAUUGUCAACUCAGAUAAGAGGUAUGCCUCAGUUUGUUAAUGGUGGGUCUUUCCCUAAGAGUAUUCCCACGGGAUUGUAGUUCUAGUCACUUAAGUUCCUCCAUUAAUCAAGGACUCCAUAAUAGAGCAUGUGCAUAACCUCUUGGGUUCAAUCCAUACUAUCUCCCAUUUAUGUCUCAAGUAUAUUGGCAUUUUUAAAGCUAUUGCUUUAUUUGACCCCAGUGUCAAGAUUAGCAAAGAACUGCUGUGGGUAUAGGAGGGUUUUCUAUCCCUAAAAAAACCCUUGUCAGGAUCCAGUGAGCUCUGUGUGUUCCCCAACAUUGUUUUCCAUGCAGCCAGGCUUACCCAAUUUCCUCUAGUGACUGGUGCUCCUCUUAAUGCGGGGGUCAGGGCAUAGGAGUAUAUAUGGUUUUUUAUGCCUCUUGGUUUUUCUCUGUUCGUCUUUCUUGCAGUGCCAACCCUUUUAGUUGCACACUCUUUGCAGGUAUAUGAAGUAGUUAUUCCAGGAAACUCUUUGAAAAGCCUUGUUUUUAAAAAUGGGGAAAAUAAUACUGACUCUUCAGGAACACUAUUUUUAGUCUGUUUCUUGUAGCUUUAUUAUACAAUCACUGAACUGUAAAAAUACAUAAAUUUUACUUCCUUUUCUUGGUCAUUAUCCUCUUGUAUUCUGUUAAAUCUGUGUUUCUGUUAGAGGGAUAUCUUUGCACAAAGAAAAUUCAGGCCUUUCCCCCAGAUAACCCAUUCAUUAUUUUUGGGGGGUAGGAAAAUCCAAAAGUUAAUAAUUCAGUACAUGUUUUGAUUGGAUUUCUGUUUUUUUACUUGAGUGCUUUAGUUGUAUUUAAAUAUGGGUUUCAAAAAUGUGUAUCAUCAGCCAAUGUAAAAGGCGUAAUAGAAUUAUUUUAAUAAACUUUAUAAUUCAGUUGUUGGGGGCCUCCUGUUCCAUGAGAGUUUUGCACAAAAGCUUUGGAUAUGUUCAUGUGCCUCUGAAGAGGCCACAAGACGGUAUUUAGCUAGCAUUCUCAUAUGCAUGUCAAGAAUCAGAAACCACAAAUGUAUCAAGCUCAUGUAAUACCUUUGGGAAAUUGCUGUCAAGCAUAGCCAUGCAUGAGUGCUAGUUAGUGCAAGAAGGGGUUAAGAUAAUAGAACUGGAUUUCUAGACUUGGCCCCCUUCUCUGAUGAGGGAGGAAGUGAAGUAUUCUCUUCCUGUUCCAUCUCUCUCCGUGCCAUGUAACUGAUUAAGGAAGACGUGUCUAAGCAAACAGCAACUUUAGAGCAUAUGUUUGAAGCUAACUUUCUGUAUUUUCUAGCCAAGGGUAUUUUGCCUGCGUUCUCCUUGCUGCUGCUUGGAUAAAUGCAUGAAUCUGACCUUUUGAACGUUUUGUAAGUAAAGCAUUUUAAAUUUACUUAAAAGUGUGUGGUCUGUUCAUUGCAAGGGAUAGAAAGAGGGGAAUACUUUGCAAGCGAACUAAACAGGAUAAAAAGAUUUAACAGUCUACAUUUCCAUACUACACUGCUGCUUGACUUAUGUGAAUUUAAACUCUGUUACCAAGUGUUCUCUCCUGUUGGAGAGUCUGUUUAGCCCCACGUUUUGAAUCCAGGUGCCCAGCAGAUUCUUUUGUUAUUUACCCCACACACGUGGGCCACGGGGCUUUAUAUUUUCCUCCUACAAUACCUACCCUGUCAUUGGUACAAGUUACUUGUUCCAACUGUGAGCUAUCUGAACAGUUGGGUGGACCUUAUCUUUGUACUUUUUUGGUUACAUUUUUUUCUCAUUUACUUUUUAAAAAUAAGGUGGGGAAAGUGUACUCAGAUCACAGCUUUGCAAAUGUAGUAACAGCAAAAAAGAAACAAAGCCCUUAGCAUUCUUAAAGCCAUGCUCAAAAGCCUAUUAUAGUCACUGUUCCAUGUGCAUUCAUCUGUGGUUAGAAAGUCCAGAGCCUACACUCACUUGCUGAAGUCCUAUAAUAGAUAACUAAUCUGAUCCAAAGCUUCUCCUGAACUUUUAUGCAAGAAAGUUGCAUGUUUGUAGGAUACCUCUAAGCCAAGGGUAGGAAAAUCUGCGGCCCUGCAGAUGUUGCUGGACUUCAUCCCCAGUCAGUAUGGCCACUGGCCAGGGAUAACAAGAGUUGUUGUCCAGCAACAUCUGAAGGGCCACAGGUUCCCACCACUGCUCUAAGGUUUAUGUAGAUUUUAUUGUACUAUUAUAAUCUGUAAAAUUAUACCUUGUUUUCUUUUUAAGGAAUUUCAUUUCUAAAAGAUGCAGAAAUUACCAUAAAAUCCAUAACGGCUGGAAGGGAUAGUUCAAAUAAUCAGAAGUAUCUGAAAGCCAAUAUAAAAUCAAGGAAAUGAUGAGUUGAGGGCCUGUCCUUUUAGUUAUUUGCUAUUUAUAUAUGUAUUUAGCCAACUGCCACAGUGCUCUAAAAGGAUCCACUUAAGCUUAGCUGAGGUAGGCUCAUAUCUAAAAUUUAUUGAAUUCCUUUGCCAACACUAUACAGUACUGGAACUUAUUUUCUAGUACAUGGUGUGGUGACAGAAUAUCUUGUGCCAAAUAUAAAGGUCAGACCCUAGUCCUCAUUGUUGUAGAGAUAAACUUGAAAAAAAUUAGCAUCUACUUAUCCAGAAACUUAACAGCUUCAGUAGACACAUGACUGGGUCUUAUGGGGUCUGCAGCAUUGUCAGUAAUUUUGCUCCUCAACUAUUUUUUCAUACCCUCCUCUCACCUGAAAGAUGUGCCAGCUACUUCCAAUCAUUUCCAUAAUUCUGUAAUACAGCUUCAACUUACCACUGGCUCUCAUUGGUCGUCACAACUAAUUUCCCUCUGCUAUUCAGUGCCUGCAUAAUUUCUCAGUAAUCUUACAACCAGAAUAAAUGUUGCACAUUUCUAAUGUUAACAUGUACAACGAAAUGACUUCAGAACUCGGAUCAGGAUCAGAUUUCUGGGUCACUGAAUUUAAAGGCCAGAAAGUACCUUUCAAAGAUAGAUACUCACUCAACAGGUUUUCUGGAAUUAGAUUCAGCAGUACACCUGAAAUAACUUACAAACUCUCUUACUGUUUUGCUUUGUGCCAAUGUCCUAUGAUCUCCCUUGCAGUCGGGCAUAGUAAAUGGGUAAAAUGGGGGGGGGGGGGGGCUUUGUUUAUAGUCCUCACUGCACCUAAAAAGCAAAUGUUGCUAUGUUGGUUCACGAAAAGAAUAAAACUCCAAAAUCCACGUAAUCUUUAUUAGAACCAACCAAAAUUGUCACUAAAGUGUGACAAGCUUUUGAUUUCUCCAUAACUCGUCAGACAAAAUAUUACAUAAAACAGUAUUACAUAAAUACAGUAUUGAUGAGGUCAACUUGUAGACACAGUUCCAAGAAGGAGAUUGCAGGCUGAGUAAAUCCCUCCCAGGUUACAUACUAUGAUUCUGGGAUGAAGAAGCAACAAAGGGAAGUUUUUCCCAUAGCACUGGUAUCUAGAGAUAACAGUUCUCUCAAUUAUACCAGUUUUCUUUUGUACCUACGAUAUACUUUUUUUAAAAAAACAGUUGUCUAUCUUGCUUCAGAUGUUGCUAUACUAGCAUAUAUACAUCUAUGUGCAGUAUUUCUCUCCAUAUGUCACUUUCAUUUUUUACCCUCAGUGCUUUGUCCACUUUGAAUUGUUAUGGUGUGCUCCUGCACUUUUGCCAAUGUCUUUCCCUUUCUCAUUUGGUCAAUAAUAAAAAAAAACCCUCAUAUCUGGGGGAUAGUUUGUUCCCAACCAGAUACUCCUCAGCUUCUGUCAACUUUCCCUGUUCCACCCCCUCAAUCAGUUUAAAAGAGAAGUUAGAUUUUUCAGGAAAGGGAGAAAAAUACAUUUAAUUCUGCUGUUCCUCUCUGUACUAGGGUAAAACACCUGUUGAAGUAAAAGACUGACAUGUUUGGACAGUGUUAACACAAACUAGGAAAUAAAAACUUUUCCUUGCAAAAUUAACCCAUCCUCAUUUGUUGUGUAGAUUACAUGCAUCAAAGUAUCAUUUAAGCCAGCUAAUUAGAUUUAACAUGCGGUUUUCCAAUAUGAGGGGGCGGGGUGGACUUUAUUACGCCAAUGAGAAUUACUAAUAUAUUUGAUGGCAUUCCGCUUCCUAAUUCUACACAUGUAAUUCAUAUCAAUUGCAUUGAGACCCUACAUAUGUGUUUAAAGCCGUAUCAAUCCUAUGCAAAGUUAGAUGCCCAAAGUGCAGUCACUGAUGUGAGUAAUCAGAAGGGCCAUUGAGUUGAGUAGAGCAUCCUCCACUUAAUUGAGUAUUGGAUUGCAGCCUAAGCCUGUUGAAAUUAAUGGGCCAACUAUCAAAAAGUCCUGGGGUUUUAAAUUUAGUUAUUUCUCAUUUCACGCCCAUUCCCAUGAGUUGCAAACAAUUAUAUACAGUGGUACCUCGGGUUACAUACGCUUCAGGUUACAGACUCUGCUAACCCAGAAAUAGUGCUUCAGGUUAAGAACUUUGCUUCAGGAUGAGAACAGAAAUUGUGCUCCGGUGGUGCAGCAGCAGCAGGAGGCCCCAUUAGCUAAAGUGGUGCUUCAUGUUAAGAACAGUUUCAGGUUAAUAACGGACCUCUGGAACGAAUUAAGUUCUUAACCCAAGGUACCACUGUAAUAGUAUGCCAAAAGAAUCACAACUUACAGCACAAUCCUAACAAUGUAUGCUCAGAAUUAAGUCCUUUUGAAUCCAGUAGAGUUUACUCUCAGUUAAGUGGAGUUAGGAUUCCAGCCUAAUUCAAGUAGACCUAUUUACCAACUGCAAAAAAAAGCUAAAUUAUAAAAUAGCAAUUGAAGAUGACAGACCAAUAGUCUGACUCAGUAUAGGUCAGUUUCCAGAGCCCUUACCCCCCCCCCCGCCCCCCAAAAAGUGAAUUCAAAAUACAUACUACUUUGCCUCCAGUGUACUUCCAUGACUUGUUUGGGAAAUGGUGAACCCAUGACGUUAGCCGCAAUUCUUUUUUUAAAAAAUUUUUUUAUUUAUCAAUUUUUCUAAAACAACAGAAAAAAAACAUUCCAAUUAAGUUUUACAUCCAAUUCCAAUCUUUGUACUUUUUGGACUUCCCUCAGCCUGUCGGAGAAUUUUUCAUAUUAUCACUAUUACUCACAUUUCUUCAGAUGUUAGCCGCAAUUCAUAUCUACCCCGUAUCCUGUUCUUUCUUAUUAAAUACUGUGUUUUGAGAAAAACGGAGUAACUUCACUGCAUUUUAAGACAGUACAGUAAUAUGUACACAGCCAUAGAUGAUGUUUUUAUGGUUUCAAAAUGUUCCCGACAAGCCUUGGCCUCAGUUCAUCAAGCUACUUGUGCAUAUCCCUGGGACGAACUCAGCAUAAUGUUCAAUGGAGUGUACAGGAGCAAAAAGUUCUGCUCAUGCAGUGGGACUCCACACCCCCCACCCUGCCUGUUCUGGGUUUUCCCUCAACCCACCAGAGCAGAUUUAGGGGGUGUGGAGGAAGGACAGGACAAAAAGGCCAGUUGUGUGAGCGGACCUUGUUCUGCUCAUGCAACAAUUUAGUUGAACCAACCCCAGAUGUAUGUGAAUAGCUCAUUUCACUUCACUCAAAAGUAUAUUAACUGCUCAAAAAUAAAGCACCCUGCAACAGAGAAGCAGAUAUAUACCAUUUGGGAUUUCUAUGAUACUGAUAACACUGGGAAAGUAAAUACUCUACCCAAAGUAAUUUCAUUUCACCAAAUGUAGGAUGAUUUCUAAAUUGAUUCAAGCUAAACAUUUAGUUUAAUGACAGUAAUGUAUGAUCAAAAAUUGAUAUUUUUUGCAUAGUAUGUGUCCCACUGUUCUAAUUAGCUGAUAUGAGAAUCUUCAAAAUAUGCAGGCAUAUGUAAGGCACCUGGUUUUUGAAGAAGGAAAAGCCCCCACCAAGAAUUAAUUAAUUACGGCUCAGCAGCCCUCUGAGACAAAUAAAUGUAAAUGUUGCUUCUUCCUGCACCCCCCUUUAUAAAGCAACUGAGGCAUAGUAAGAUCUAUUUCUGGUAACAAGCCAUGAGAGGGUGUGGAUGCCUUACUAGGCAAUUACAGUGGUGCCCCGCAAGACGAACGCCUCGCAAGACGAAAAACUCGCAAGACGAAAGGUUUUUUCGUUUUCGAGUUGCUUCGCAAGACGAAUGUCCCUAUGGGCUUGCUUCGCAAGACGAAAACGUCUUGCAAGUUUGUUUCCUUUUCGUAAAACCGUUAAAACCCAGGGUGCAUUGCUGGAAGAGGUGCAGUUGCGACUUGACCUCGAGGAGCAACACAUUGCACGCGGUGUGGUGGCCUUUCUGAGCUUUUUAAAGAGUUUGCUGGAUUUUGAAGCUUUUCCAAAACUUCUUUUGCAGCUGUUCGGUAAGUUAAACUUUUAAAACUUUUUUGGGUUUUUGGAUUUUGGGUUGGGGUGUUUAGAAUUCAAGGACUUGGUGUUGGGGAGGGGUUUGCAAGAAUCUGGGAGCUUGUGUGGUUAUUUCCUGCAUUUUUAUGAUUUUCUGUGACCAUUGGGCCAUGUUUAUUUUUUUUUAAAAAAAAAUCUGGCUUUGAAUUUUUGAAUUUCUGUGUGCUGGGUGGAUGGGGGAACAGCUGGGGAGGGGUUUGCAAGAAUCUGGGAGCUUGUGUGGGGUUUUUUUGCAUUUUUAUGGUUUUCUGUGACCAUUGGGCCAUGUUGGUUUUUUUUGAAAAAAAUUUCUGGGUUUUAAAUUGCUGGGUGGCUGGGGGAACAGCUGGGGAGGGGUUUGCAAGAAUCUGGGAGCUUGUGUGGUUUUUUUUUUGAAUUUUUAUGGUUUUCUGUGACCAUUGGGCCAUGUUGUUGUUUUUUGAAAAAAAAUUCUGGGUUUUGAAUUUCUGUGUGCUGGGUGGCUGGGGGAACAGCUGGGGAGGGGUUUGCAGGAAUCUGGGAGCUUGUGUGGGGUUUUUUUUGCAUUUUUAUGGUUUUCUGUGACCAUUGGGCCAUGUUGUUUUUUUUUGAAAAAAAUUUCUGGGUUUUGAAUUUCUGUGUGCUGGGUGGCUGGGGGAACAGCUGGGGAGGGGUUUGCAAGAAUCUGGGAGCUUGUGUGGUUUUUUUUUUUGAAUUUUUAUGGUUUUCUGUGACCAUUGGGCCAUGUUGGUUUUUUUUGGAAAAAAAUUCUGGGUUUUGAAUUUCUGUGUGCUGGGUGGCUGGGGGAACAGCUGGGGAGGGGUUUGCAGGAAUCUGGGAGCUUGUGUGGGUUUUUUUGAAUUUUUAUGGUUGUCUGUGACAAUUGGGCCAUGUAGUAUUUUUUUGAAAAAAAUUCUGGGUUUUGAAUUUCUGUGUGCUGGGUGGAUGGGGGAACAGCUGGGGAGGGGUUUGCAACAAUCUGGGAGCUUGUGUGCUUUUUUUUGAAUUUUUAUGGUUUUCUGUGACCAUUGGGCCAUGUUUAUUUUUUUUUAAAAAAAAAAAUCUGGCUUUGAAUUUUUGAAUUUCUGUGUGCUGGGUGGCUGGGGGAACAGUUGAGGAGGGGUUUGCAACAGUUGGGGAGGGGUUUGCAACAGUUGGGGAGGGGCUGGGGGAACAGUUGAGUUUUUUGAAGACUUUGGUGAUUUUUAAAGCUUUCCCAAAACUUCUUUUGCAGCCAUUUGAGGAUUUUGAAGACUUUGGUGAUUUGCAGCCAUUUCGUAAGUUAAACUUUUAAAACUUUUUGGGGGGGUUUUUGGAUUUUGGGUUGGGUGUUUGGAAUUCAAGGACUUGGUUCUGGGUUUGAAUUGCUGAUUUUCUUUUUCUUUUUUCUGAGUUUACAAAGGUAACAGCUGUGCUGCCAUGGGACCCAAGAAGACUGCUGCUGCUGCGGAGGCCGGCGAGAGGAAGAAGGAGAAGGUGACGCUGGAGAUGAAGAAGGAGAUCAUCCGGAAGCACGACGGUGGAAUGCGUGUGACGGACCUCGCCAGGGAGUACGGCAGGAACCCAUCGACCAUCGGGACCAUCCUGAAGAUGAGGGAGAAGAUCCUUGCGACUGAUGCAGCCAAGGGAGUCACCAGGAUCGUGAAGAACCGCCCAGCUGUUCUGGAGGAGGUCGAGAAGUUGCUGCUCAUCUGGUUAGAAGAGAAGCAGCGUGCAGGGGACACAGUGACUGAGGCCGUCAUUUGUGAGAAGGCCAAGGCCUUGCACGCAGACCUCAUCCGGGAACAGCCAGGAACCUCGGCCGAGCCAGAAGUCUUCAAGGCAAGCAGAGGCUGGUUUGACCGGUUCAAGGCAAGAUCCGGAAUCCACAGCAUGGUCAGGCAUGGAGAGGCUGCCAGUUCUGAUGUUCCUGCGGCUGAAGACUUUGCCUUGGAGUUCCUGGAGGUUGUGAAGACGGAGGGCUACGUUCCACAGCAGGUCUUCAACUGCGACGAGACCGGGCUGUUUUGGAAGAGGAUGCCCAAAAGGACUUUCCUCACACAGGAGGAGGCCAAGUUGCCUGGCCACAAGCCCAUGAAGGACCGUCUGACCCUGCUCUUCUGUGCCAACGCAAGCGGCGACCUGAAGAUCAAGCCCCUGCUGGUGUACCACUCGGAGAACCCACGGGCCUUCAAGAAACACAAGGUCGACAAGGAGCGGCUGAGUGUCAUGUGGCGAUCCAACAGCAAGGCUUGGGUCACACGUGUGCUGUUUGUGGACUGGGUCAAUCUUGCCUUUGGCCCUGCUGUCAAACAGUACCUGCUGGACAACGACCUGCCGCUGAAGGCUUUGCUUCUGAUGGACAAUGCUCCUGCUCAUCCUAAAGGCCUUGAGGUGGACUUGUUGGAGGAGUUCAGCUUCAUCAACAUCAUGUUCCUGCCGCCUAACACCACGCCACUGCUCCAGCCGAUGGAUCAGCAGGUCAUCGCCAAUUUCAAGAAACUCUACACCAAGGAGCUUUUCAGGCGAUGCUUCGAGGUGACUGAUUGCACCACCAUCACCCUGCGGGAAUUCUGGAAGGACCACUUCGACAUCGUCACCUGCUUGAAGAUGAUCACCACGGCCUGGAACGGGAUCAGCCAGAGAAAUUUGAAUUGCGCUUGGCGCAGCCUGUGGCCGGACUGUGUGGCACCAAGUGACUCUGAUGCACCAGAGUCGACAGUGGUGCAGGACAUUGUUGCCUUGGGGAGGACCAUGGGCCUGGAGGUCACAGAGGAGGACGUCUGCGAGCUGGUGGAGGAGCACGACCACGAGCUGACCACCCAGGAGCUGGUUGAACUGCAGUCAGAGGUUGCGCAGGAGCAGGCCUCGCUGGAAGAGGAGGAAGCAACUGAGGAACGGCCGUCCUCCAAAGAACUGAGGGACAUUUGCCAGAAGUGGAAGGAGGUGCAGGCUUUUGCAGAGCGGCACCACCCUGACAAGCACGUGGCACAUGACCAAGCGAACACUUUUGAUACGACGGUCAUGUUGCCUCUCAGGGAGCUGCUGAAAAGGCGGAUGAAGCAGCAGACCAUGGACAGGUUCCUCAGCAAGAAGCAAAGAGUGGAAGAGGAACCUUCUUCGAGUGGUCCCCAGAGUCUUAGAAAAUGUAAUGUACCCUUUUUGAUUUUUAAAUGUUUUUCCUGUCAUGUUUAGAAACUUAAUUUAUUGUUCCUUCAAUUUUUGAUAUGCUCUUUAAAGUAUGUGUGACUUUAAAGAGCAGUUAAUAAACUCUUGUUGUACCAAAUUUGGCUUUGAUUGGACUUUUUUUGACCAUAGGAACGCAUUAAUUGAAUUUCAAUGCAUUCCUAUGGGAAACCGUGCUUCGCAAGACAAAAAAUUCGCUAGACGAAAAAACUCGCGGAACGAAUUAAUUUCGUCUUGCGAGGCACCACUGUAGUACAAAUAGCCAGAAAGUAUUUUGUUGCUAGUGCAUGCUUCCAAGUUUUAUUGAUUUUUGCUGUUUAAAAUAUCAGUUUCGGAGUAGUUCAUGAAAUAUGUGUUUGUGCAGUUAAAAGCAAUUCCUUUUAAAAGAAAAGUUUUUUUUUAAAAAAAGUUAAAUUAUUAGCUAGAUGAAGAAUUGACAUAACCAAAGAGCUAUAUGUUUUCUGUUUGAUUUUUCCCAUUUGUAAAACAUCUGGUAGCUAUGUUCAUUAAGGGCCUCAUUUUGCACCUCAUGAUGUACAUUUUUGGAUGAUCCUGACAUACCUGCCCGUUCAAACCUUUGACCAGAAGUGAAACUUCUUUAGCACAUUAUGCUGCAAAAUUGCCAGUAUCCUCUGCUGGCAGCAUGACACAUUCAGCUCGUGAGAAGGCUUUCACAGGCACUAUUAAUUUGCAGCCCACCAUUUAAUCUGGGAAUCAUAGUACCACUUAAAAUCAGUGUACUUAACUCUUGCACCUCCAUUCUAAUGCCAGCUGAGAUUGCUCAUCACUGGAACAAAGAUAUAGCACAGAAUUUCUGACACUGGAGCUUCCAGACAUUGCUAUUAGGAGCAGCAGUAGCUAGUAGUGUCUAAAACAGAAAAUACUGAACAAAUCCCUGUUGCAGGGAUUUGGGGCUACCAUUUCUGUUUAGAUGCAGUAGCUCUCCUAAUUUCCUCUGCCCUAUGUUACCCUGUUAGUAGUCCACAUUGAAACAGAUCAACCCCAUCUCUCCCCUUGAAUUCUUGGUUUGCUGGUGUUCACUAGUCUGAAUCAGUUUGCAAGACGCUCACCUACCAUAGUGCUUACAACACCUGGAAAAAGCUGAUGUCAGGAUUCAUCCGUGGCAUCUCAAUUCCCGACUUUUGCCUCAGCAUAUCCUGUUGUGAUUCUUUUAUGAUGUCCCUGCCAUGUCAGCAUAAAAUAAAAUCAUGCUUCACCACAUUGUGCAGCCUGACCUGUAAGUACACCUUCUUUUUCUAUGUGCUUGAAAUCUAGAAAUUUGGAACCAGGCUGUUUGUCUCAUAUGAUAUAAAAGGUUCGGUUAUUUUUUAAUGUACUUAUUUGUAAAGUUUUAAAGGGGGGAGGGGAAUGUGUGUACAUUCAAUUUAAAUGUUGGCCUUUUUAGUUCCUAAAAACCAUAACUUGUUUAUUUACUAAUACAAUAAAGAGCUUAAUGGAACCUUUAAAACAAAUAUAUUUCUAUCAUCAGCUUUUGUGCCUGUUGUCAAUUGGCAAAUUUUACGCAUACAUGUCUAGACAGAAGACUGGGCAGAGGAGGACUGCCAAGAGGCAAAAGAUCCAAUCAGAGCCAGUGGCAGAGGAAGGGGGGCGGCUUGCCCCAGGUGUCAUCUCUGGGGGGGGGGUGACAUUCGGCGCACUACCCGCCCGCAACUUCCAAGCCUACCCCGAGCUGUCAGGGGGAGGGGGGAGCUGUGCCACUUUGCCGGCGGCAUUCCCCCCUUCCCUCUUCAUUUUGACAGCUGGGGGAGGCUUCGGAGUUGCGGGCGGCGCGGUGAAUGUCUGCCAUCAGCAGUUGGCUCCGCCCCCGGCUGCAGGGCGUGCACACCGCUCCGGGCACCUGAGCGGCUAUCCCGCACCUCGGAGGGCACUCUCAGCGCCCCACCCCCUUCGGGAGCACGCCCACCUUGGGCAGCGAGGGCAUAUGCUUCGCCACUGAUCAGAGCAUGUGCAGAGUUGAUCACUCAGUACUGGUAUUGAACUGGUACCCCUGAUUAACAUAUAAACAUUAACAAGGGACAGUUACUUUCCAUAUUGAGCUUGCUCCUCCCAAUCUCUACUGAUCCUAAAUCUGAUAGUUUCAAGUGGGCAUAUACAGGGCUGGCCCAGAAUGUUUCUGGCACUUGAGGCAGAACAGAAAGUGGUCCAUCCCCAUUCCUUACCCCCGCUGCCGCCACCAUCUUAUUACAGGAGCAAUUGCUGGGCCUAGAUAUGCAUCCCUGUUGAGUGGGCCAUUGUUGCUGGUACAUAGUUUCUUCAGUUUGGGCAAUUGUCUUUAAGUAAGGAUAUUCAAGUCAUGUGAGAAGGAUAGAUUGUCUUUCAGAAUAGACUGCAGUUCUUUGAUUAUGCGCUAAUAAAGCUACUAUCCAUAUAUUCCCAAGUUUCCUAGCAUCUAAUGGACUUCCUUUUGCAAGGCCUGCUUCACAGUAUCAAUAGCAGCAGCCUGAUAAGGACAUCCUAGAUGUGGUCCUCCUUCCCACUUUCUUCUAAAUCUGGAAUAUCUAAAACCAGUCGUUCUGCCAGGAACCAUUGAGGAAGCAGAAUUUAGCCAUCUGGAUUAACGUGACAGACUAUAAAGCUGGCAUGAGAUACAAAUAUAUGUGGCUGAGGAAUCUCUUGUAUAGUCAGUUCCUUUAGUAUUAAAACAGUAGAUUAUUGAUAAUCUUAAGAAAUGUGCUCUUAGAUUUUAAGCCAACUUUCUAAUUUUAAUGUAAAAUUUUUAAUACAGUGGACGCUCAGGUUGCAAACAUGAUCCAUGCGGGAUGCACGUUUGCAACCCACGUCUGCGCACGCGCAGGUUGCGAUUCAGCGCUUCUGCGCAUGCGUGACCAUCGAAAUGCAGAAGUAACCCGUUCCAGUACUUCUGGGUUUCGGCGGUCCACAACCCAAAAAAACGCAACCUGAAGCGGCUGUAACCCAAGGUAUGACCGUAAUCAAAUUCUAAAUAAACAUGAUUAAUGAAUCGUUCAUUUUGAGAGCUUCUCCAAAUCUUCACGUUCUGCUUUGAGUAUUCCAAUGUAAAAACUGGCAUUUAACCCAUAAAAAACUAAGCAAAGCUAAGUGUUCCCUAUAAAGUAAUAUGCAAAUUCCUUUUAUUUCAGGACUCUCCAUGCUUAUGCACAAUCCUACCUCUCUUCACUUCAGCUGUAGGACCAGGCUGUCCAUUGGAUACAUGGGACAAAAUUACACAGAUGUAAAAGAAUCUCUAAGCCGUCAGCGCCCAGGCACUUCUGCCAUUAAGAUGCCAUGUAUUCAAUGUAAGCACAAUCACAUACAGUCAUACCUCAUGUUAUGGACGCUUCAGGAUACGUGUCUUGGGGUUACGGACCGCGGGAAACCCGGAAGUACCGGAACAGGUUACUUCCGGGUUUCGCUGUGGGUUGCGGACGUGCCUCCGUCACAGAUUACAUCCACAACCCGAGGUUCCACUGUAAUUUGGUUCCAGGCACAGGACUGAACAUCCAAAAAGAUCCACUUUCAUUUUAUAAAGAUCUGUUUCAAGCCCAUAGGGUUGGAGGAAGAGUGUAUGGACAAUGGAAUCUCAGAACCUUGAAUGGGAAGUUGAACAAGUUAUGCAGUGUUCAGAAGUGGGGCUUCAGUAACCUGCAUAACUCAGUGUUCCUUCUUAUAAGCAGAGAAUAAAUUAUGCAAAAUAUGGAAAUACAUGCAGAUUUGCAAUUUAUACAGGAGUCAGAAUACAGAUUAAGUGGACUUAGAAAUUUAUUUUCUUAGUGCAGAAUAAUAUAGCUUUCCACACCACUGUCUUCAGCAAUUCUGACAGUAAGGAAUGCAAGGUUACCCAAUCAUGCCAUUAGAAUAAGUUGAUGGAUCGUAAUAUGUGCACAUGUGUAUAAAGAAUAACUAAAUGAGAACGGCAUCUUCUCUGUUUCCAUUUGCCAUUAAAACCAUUUAGUUCAUGGUGCUUUUGAAUCAUCUGAAAAGAAGAGGUAAAUGAUAACGUCAAGUAAGCAAUCCAGAUUGCCUUCAAAAUUUUCAGACAAGAAUAAAUCAAUGCACAAGUGAAAGCCACAGCAGGAAACCAUAAUAACCAACUGAAGUUUCAUUUUCCUGUCUAUUGCAGUGGGUUAAUAUUGCAGUGCAGAGCUUUUUGCCCCAUUACUCAUUUGUGAGAAAGCAAGAGGUUUUAGACAAAAACUUCCUGUGGAUUAUUACUUAUGAGUCCCCCCAACUUUUUAUUGAAUUUUUGUUGCAUGCAAAACCUCUUUAACUAUCAUAUUUACUUUUUUAUGUUCUUAAUUUUUAAUGUUCUUAAUUCAAUAGCAUGCAUCAAGUUAUUGGUUUGCUUUUGUUUUAUUAUGUAUUUUGUGUUCUCGUUUUAUAUUUUUAUGUUGUGAACCACCCUGUGAUCUUCAGAUAACCAAUUAAAACUCAGGUAUACAAAUUUAAACAAACAAAUAAAUAAAUUCUUACAGUUUGUUAAUGAAGAAAUUAGCAACAGGAGCAGGUGGGAAAUAGGCUUGGAGGUUGUUCACCUAUACACUGACUUAAAGGCUUUCAGUCAUGAUAUAAACUAAUUAAGUGAGCACAGAAUUGCUGGUGAACCCCACAAAAUUGCAAGUCACUCUGUGUGUAUAAUAGACAGCUAUUCCUAACUACAGAACUUGGGAACCAAAAGCCUAUCUUUCUGACAGGCAAUUUGCUAAACAAGCUUCAGUUUAGAUAAGAGAUGGGAUAUAUGAAACUCCCUGCAGAACACUCUGCUUAAUGUAACCGAAAUGCCAUAACUUUUGGUCACACUCAAUCUAACCUUGUUCUUAGAACACUCUUGUACCGUAUUAAUCCAGAUUUACAGACCAAUCCCAAACAUAGUUACAUGGAAAUACAUUUCACUGCAUUCAAUAGGAUUUACUUUUCUGGUAAAUGUGCUUAUAGGAUUGUAACCUAAAUCAUUCAGGAUUUGCCUGGAUAUUUUGUACUUUAAAUGUAAUGUAGCCAUCACAAAACCUAUUUACAAUAUCUCCCUUCCAGUUCACCUGGAGCACUUUAUGGCCAGAAUUAACUCCUAACAACAGAGAUUGUUUAGUCUACUAUUUAUGUAACUCACAUGUGUCUGUCAUGGGGGCUGGACAACUUACACUUUUUAAAAGAUGUUUGCAGACGGAAGGGAGGAUUUAUCCAAUAACAAUGGGGUAUGAUGUUUCAUGUGACUCUAGGCCCAUGUCUUACAUAUAAUCAACAAAACUUUGUCCAAACUAGGAUUACAUUGCUCCAGCUUUCAAAAACCAGUUUCCCAAAGAGUAAAUGCUAUGGUUUGUUUUUGAUUCCUUACCCAUUUCAGUCUGCAGUCAUUUACACCAGCAGUAGCUAGCCCAUAUCUUUCUCACUAGCAAGAGAAUUCGAUAAAUAUGGGACCACCACCCAAUGUGUCCCUGCUGCUUACAAUUAAUCCCUCCCCGUCUCUUAAGUUUUUAUAAUGUACUGGGUUUUUCGGCAUCAGUUCCUGCAGUGCCAUAAUCUCAGAGACAUUUCUGUUCACACAACAUUGCUGCAGGUUAACUUUCAUGUUGGAUGCAUUUUGACACCUGACCCCAAUCUCAGUACUUUUCCGAAGCAUGGUGGCCUUUUGCAUCAUAUCUACAAGUGCUUUAAAGCAUCGUGUUAUGGCUCAAUUGUUGUUUAGCUCUUAAACAACAGGUGCAAGAUUAAGAAUCAAGCAGCAUGUGGCCUCAGUGUGUGCAAAGUAGUGUUCCUGCCAAAAAAAUAGACUCCUUCGGAGUAGUACGUCUUAACCAUUUAAAAUUAUGUGGCUUCAAGUCUUAUUGAUACAUAAUAUGGGAUAGAGACAUUAUAUUCAGAAGAAUAUUCCCUCAAAUCUUCCUUCCAGUUCCUCUCUGUGGGUUGCAUCCAGUGCUGUAUAACCAGAGUUCCCUUUGCACUAUAGGGAGUUGCCCUUCCUCUCCUCUUCCUUCAGACCCCCAAUAUCUGAUGCAGAGGGUUCCCCAACCUUCUGGAGCAGAUUUUGAAGAUGCAAGGGGGGAAUGCAGGGGAGAUGAGGGGGGAGUUCCCUUGUGUAAACUGGAAUUUUCUGCACAAGUGGAAGAGCAGUAUUGGAUACAGUCCAAUACAGUCAUAUGGUACUGCAGGGGUACUUGGUGCCCUCCAGAUGUUGUUCAACUAUAACUCCCAUCAGCCUCAGUCAGCAUGAUCAUUGGCCAGGGAUGACAAAAAGAUUAGAUCAGCAACAUCUGUAGAACACCACAUUGGCUACCCUGUGCCUGCUGUAAGGCUAAGCAUAUGGAUGCAUGAAAUAAACACACGUCCUUCUCCUGUGACUCCAUCUCUCUUAUUUUUCUCUGGUCUCCACUGUAUUGAAUUGUAGAUGGCAAGCUUCUCGGGAUAGGGGCCUGUAUUUUCCCAAAUGUUAUAAAAUAAGACUUACGUAGGUAACAUGCUUAUGAUGCAAUCCAAUACAUGUUUACUCAGUAGUAAAUCCUGUUGAGUUUAGUGGGAUUUAUUGCAAAGUACGUGUGUACAGUAUAGGAUUUCAUCCUGAAUUUUCAAAGUACUAUAAUCCCCCUGAUUGGCUUUAUAGUGGCA